GUCUGGCAAGCUCAGCACUUAGGAGAGGUUUUGGCAUACCUGUGUGUGGAGAACCACUGUUUCCACCCAGAGGGACCCUGUAAAGAAAGAACACAUUACAGAGAAAAGAGAAUAUAAAAUGAGGCCAAGGAGCUGCACCAGCUUUUUAGCAAUGCUGCACAGCUAACAAGUUAUUAGAUUUCCAUCUAAGAUUUGGAAAAGGUUUGGCAUUGGAAUGAGCCAAGAGCCGACUCUUCUAACUGGGGUCACUUUCACAGGCUUCAGGCUAGACUAUGGCAUGUCUCUUGGGAGCCACAUGGACCCCACUGGGAAGAUCAUCUACGUGAAACAGGACGCCCUGUGAAGUUGACUCGGCACCGGCUGCUCCAUCCACGCCGGUGGCCUGGCAGGUCCUGCACUGUGGCACUGCAUCCCUGCCCAGCUCCCUGGGCAGCACCCAGUCAGACUACGGAGAGCCGGUGUCCUUCAUCUGACCAGGGCAGAGGAUGGGUAGGAGGCCGCAGUGGGGAGUGAAGGAGCUAGUGAGUGAGGGGGCCCCAGGCUGGCGGGCAGGUGGCUCCACAGAGGCUGGCGUCAGUCCUCACCACCCAGCUGCGGGUAGGCUGCCCGUGUUGUGCACAGCCCAACACCACGCUAGACCUUUCCAGACCCUCCUGCCGUGCUGCUCCCGUGCCCUGUGCUGCUGGAGAAGGGCCAGGGCAGCCCCCUCAAACUGAGCGCCCCAACCUUGCUCUCCAGGGGAGGCCUGUCCCUAGCCCGGCUCCCCAGCGGGAGACACUGCCCUCUCCCACCCCUCCAGCUCCUGCCUCUCCUGGUCACUUGAAACCUCUCAGCUGCCUUUUCUCCAGACCCUCUGUUGUUCUGGGUCUGCUGCAGACCUAGCCCUGAGCCCCGGGGCUCAGCCCACGUCCUCCCCUGACGACUACACCGGAUAUGGCAUUUAUGGCCUGUAAUCCCUGUGUCUCCUAAACCCCUCUCCCCAAGGCUCCGCCACGACCUUGACGCUCAGCGCCCCUCCCUCCGCCCACCGCCUGCUGGGCAUUCCCACGCACCCCAACAGGGCUAGAAACGUGCUCCCCUAAUGGCUUCCUCCGGGAUUUCUGCCGUGUCCAUCGUUCCGCUCUCUGCCGAGCAUUCUAGCUGGAACCCCCGAGUCACAAGCAACCCCUCCCUGGCCUCUGAUUCAGCCCCUGGCAUUCCCUCCCGUCUCCAGCUGCCCUCCUGCGCAUCUCUCCCAUGCACUGAGCUGCAGCAGGGCCACUAUUACAGGGCUGAGCUCCCGUCACCCAGGUCAGACCCUCAGAGGCCCCUUGGAGGCUCCAUGCUGGAUGUGGACAAAGGUCCUUUGCCCUCACAGCACUGACCUGAGACACUGUGCUCUUGCUUCACAGAACCAGCUGACCAUGUCCAAAACCCCAAGGUGUCCCCAAACUGUCAGCAUUCAAUUUUUCUGAGUUGUGUAAAUAAUAUGGUUGUGAUGGUUAAUUUUACGUGUUACCUCUGCUGCACUGCAACACCCAGUUAUUUGGUCAAAAAUUACUCUAAAUAUUUCUGUGAAAGUAUUUUUUGAUGACAUUAACAUUUAAAUCAUUAGAGUUUGGGUACAGCAGUUGAAGUCCAUGAUGUGGGUGGGCCUGGUCCAAUCUGUUGAAGGUCUUAAGAGACUAAGACUGAGGUCUUUCAGAAAAUGAGGGAAUCUGCCUUUAGACUUGAAGCACCAACUUUUCCCUGGGUCUGAGGCCUACGGUCCUACUGCCGAUUUGGGACUUGUUAACUCCUACAAUCAUGUGAGCCAAUUCCUUAGAAUUAUCUACAUCUGUCUAUCUAUCAUCUCUAUAUCCAUCCAUCCUGUUGGUUCCAUUUCUCUGGAGAACCCCCAAAACAAUUGGUUAAAUGGUGCAAGCCAGUGUAUUGUAAAAUGGUGCAGGAGGAUGUUAUACGUAGGUCUGGGGCGGCACCUGGGAACCAAAUUCAUUUCUAUUAUCUGAAGAGAAAUGUGUAAAUACACAAACCCUAUCAUAUACAGAAAAAUUGUAACUGGUCCUCGGUCAGCUUAGAUUAUGCUGCUGAAUGAUAUGGCCACACCCAUAGGGUUUUGGACACGUUGGGACAUGGAAUUGAGCAUAAGGAAUGUGGAGCCACAGUCCAAUUUCACAGGUGGGCCUCAGAACAUCUUUGCCAUGUGGCCUUAUGCCAGUUUUCAGAGGAGAUAUCAAGGUCAAAGAGGCUUGGUUCUGUGCCUUGGGCCCCACUUAGCAGGUGACAGAGGGAGGUGCCUGGGGUGGUGGCCUGCCUUGCCCUCUGCUGUCUCAGUGCUGCAGUAUGGAUGUCCUCCCACACGGGGUGUUAUCUCACCCAAAGACUGCCCCCCUGCUCUG